ACUGUUAGGAGAAAGCCAGGGCGUGGA
rnacentral:piRNA from 1 species